UACGUAGGGUGCAAGCGUUAGUCGGAAUUACUGGGCGUAAAGCGUGCGCAGGCGGCUUUGCAAGACAGAUGUGAAAUCCCCGGGCUUAACCUGGGAGCUGCAUUUGUGACUGCAUGGCUGGAGUGCGGCAGAGGGGGAUGGAAUUCCGCGUGUAGCAGUGAAAUGCGUAGAUAUCAGGAGGAAUACCGAUGGCGAAGGCAGGUCUCUGGGCUGACACUGACGCUCAUGCACGAAAGCGUGGGGAGCAAACAGG
rnacentral:rRNA from 1 species